rnacentral:rRNA from 1 species
AUGCAUAAGCUCGUAAACGUUCAUUAUUUGGACAAGUCGACAUUUAUGCUUGGAAAUGACGAUGAAGGGGAAGAGGCUAUGGUUUUUGACACAAGUCCAAGCUUUGAUGAUCUUGUAGUUCAAGUGAGAAGCGUCUUACAUUGGAAUGACCCAAAUGCCGAGGUUAAGCUUAUUGGGAGGUAUGACGUUGGAUUGGGAGUAAAGUCCCGAUUAAAGAGUAUGCCCAUCACCUCCCAAUUGCAUUGGAAUGUGUACAAGGAAAAAGUAGACGCAUCACAAGACAAGUCUCUUGAGAUCUUUGCCACAAAGGUUGAUCCUCCUCCUUUGCAAAUUGAUCUCAACCGCAAUGCAUCCUCCCCCAUGCAUGAUGACAGUGCCGAGGUGUAUGUCCCCAAUUCUUCUAGCCAACCACCAAGUAGCCAACCCAAUGAAGAUCAUAUCAACGCUAGCGCCAUAGUACUCCGUCAUGAUGCUAUUCCUCAUGUUGAAGAAGAUGCCAUUCCUCAUGUUGAUGAUGAUGCUAUUGUUGCUCUAGAGGAGGAUGUUUACUCGGAGAAUGAAGAGAUCCAUUACAAUCCAAUUGGUAACUUGGAUGCCAUUGUGCGGCAACAAGACAUUGACCGUACCCUCCCUUAUAACCGUAUGUGUGGGUAUAACUCGGAUGACGAGGGUCCGGAGGAAGAGUUGGAUGAGGAUGGGUUGACUGCGCAAGAAAACGAAAUCUACAAGAAGGUGACCGGCAAGGAGAGAGGGCCGUCUUUGUUUAGAGAUGUGAGUCUUGCGGACAAUGCAGUCGUUGAUGAUGGGAUGAGAUUAUGGUUGUCCGAGCCAACGCCGUGCCCCAAAUUUAGUGAUCCUCGACCAGAAAAUGAGGAUGAGAAUACUCAUUUGAAGAAAGGCAUCAAGUUUGGUUCUUUGAUAGAGUUCAAGAUAUGGUUGUGUGACUAUGCCAUUAGGAACCAUAGGCCGUUUGUUGUUGGUCAUUCAAAUCAAAAACUUCGGUACACGGUCAAAUGUGACAAAGAAGGUUGCAAAUGGAUGGUCCGCGGUAGAAAAAUCAAAGAAACCGGGCAAUGGGUCUUGAAGAGUCAUGUUCGCACUCACACGUGCGUACCCCCAGACAAGGCUGACCAAAGCAAAGGACACCGUCAACUCACAUUGGAGUAUCUAGGAUAUAAAUUGUUGCAUAAAAUAGCACAUGAUCCAACCGUGAAGGUCAAGUUUCUCAUGUCUUUGAUUGAGGAACAAUUCGGACACCCGGUCAAGUACGGGAAGGCAUGGAUGGCGAAGGCAAACGCUAUUAGGAUGUUGCAUGGUGAUUAUGAGGCCGCAUAUAACAUUCUCCCCAAGACGUUGGCAGCAAUUGCUCAUCGAAACCCGGGAAUGCGCCAUCGGGUGGAGUCAAUUGGCGGAGUGUUUCAUCGUGCCUUCUGGAGCUUUGGACAAUGCAUUGAGGCAUUCACGUAUUGUCGCCCGGUGUUGUCUAUAGAUGGUACAUUCUUGACCGGCAAAUACAAGGGAACAUUGAUGGUGGCGAUGGCCCACUCUUCAAAUGAUAACGUGUUGCCGGUGGCAUUUGCCUUGGUGCCUUCGGAGCACGAUGAUAAUUGGGAGUGGUUCAUGGAGCAUGUGAGAACCAAGGUGAUAGGCAACAGAGAGGUAUGCAUUAUAUCGGAUCGCCAUCAUGGGAUUCUCAAAGCAAUAGACGUUGAUAUUCCCGGUCUUCCAAAGCUUCAACACCGUUGGUGCAUGAGACGCUUUGUUGCAAACUUUUACCGGGCAUGCAAGAGCAAGGAGUUUUGCAAAGACCUUACCCUUGUUUGCGUUGCUUUCAACACCGCCACAUUCAAGACCCGAUAUGAUAAACUCCUCGAGGCUUUGGAAAAGAACAAAGGGGGGAAAGAAUUCUUGGUUAGGCACUUUCCGGAGAAGGAAAAGUGGUCACGCGCUUACGAUGAAGGAGGUAUGCGAUAUGGGGACAUGACAAGCAACAUGGUGGAAUGCUUCAGGAAUGUGUUGAAGGGUGUCCGUUCCUUGCCGGUGACCGCAAUACUCAAGUACACUUUCAUCAAGCUCAAUGAGUACUUCCUAAAGCAUUCUGCAAGCACGGCCAAGUGGAUUGGGGAAAAGAUGGACUAUCCAUUAAAGGUUCAUGACUGGUUGUUGCAUCAAGCGCGCAAGUCUGCCAAACAACAAGUGAUCACAUAUAAUGAAAAAGAAUGA